rnacentral:rRNA from 1 species
AGUGAACGCUGGCGGUAGGCCUAACACAUGCAAGUCGAACGGCAGCACAGUAAGAGCUUGCUCUUACGGGUUGCGAGUGGCGGACGGGUGAGGAAUACAUCGGAAUCUACUUUUUCGUGGGGGAUAACGUAGGGAAACUUACGCUAAUACCGCAUACGACCUACGGGUGAAAGCAGUGGAUCUUCGGACCUUGCGCGAUUGAAUGAGCCGCUGUGGGAUUAGCUAGUUGGCGGGGUAAAGACCCACCAAGGCGACGAUCCGUAGCUGGUCUGAGAGGAUGAUCGGCCACACUGGAACUGAGACACGGUCCAGAGGCCUACGGGAGGCAGCAGUGGGGAAUAUUGGACAAUGGGCGCAAGCCUGAUACAGCCAUACCGCGUGGGUGAAGAAGGCCUUCGGGUUGUAAAGCCCUUUUGUUGGGAAAGAAAAGCAGCAGGUUAAGACCCCGCUGUUCUGACGGUACCCAAAGAAUAAGCACCGGCUAACUUCGUG